UAGAUCAAAGCUGAAUUUAGCGCUUAGCUGUUAACUAAGAGGUUGUGAGUGUAUUGCUUGCUGAUCUAG
rnacentral:tRNA from 1 species